AGGAAGGGGACGGCGUCCUGAAAGGGACAUUUGAAAAACGGAGGCAACGCGUCUAUUAAUUAGGUGGCGGCGCCUGGGGUCGCAGCACUCCAGAGGCUGAGAGUCUCGCCCUUUUGCCUAGUGGAGGAGCUCGGCUCACUGCAAGCUCCGCGCCACAACCCCCCUGCCGCCCCAGGUUCAAGAGAUUCUCCUGCCUCAGUCUCCCGAGUAGACUGGGAUUACAGGCGAGUGCCACCAUGCCCGGCUAAUUUUUGUAUUUUUGGUAGAGACGGGGUUUCAUUAUGUUGGCCAGGCUGAUCUCGAACUCCUGACCUCAAGUGAUCCGCCUGCCUUGGCCUCCCAAAGUGCUGGGAUUACAGGCGUGAGCCACAACGUUGGGCCAGCUCCAGGUUCAAGCUCAAAGGCCUAAAGUUUUGCAAACAUCUGGUGAAGAGGAAGAUUUUUGAGACUCUCCCAGCCUAUUACAUAAAGGAAACAUAACCGAGAAUUUUGUCUAAAGGUUUUCAUUUGAAACAAAGCAAGAGCUUCUUUUCCCCACUCCGAAUUAAAACACAGCGCAACAGGGGCCACAUUUAUUUGGCAGGACAGUACCAAUAUGUGAACAUCCUCCUCCUCACUGCCGUUGGGGUGACUUGACUCAUAAGCAGCUGUUCUUACACAAAAUAUUAACCCGAACUGCUAGUGUCACACAGAAGGAAGUGGUCUUGAUUGUGUAUGUGGGCCAGCAUGUUCUACAAAUGCUGAAAGGUGGGAGAAGCACAAAUACAACCCACUCUUUAAAAAAACUAAAUAAUUCAAAGUAAAAUUUUCUAUCCCCGCCCCCUCCCCACCCUUGCCUUCUCCAAUAAUAAAAAGUAGAAUCCAGAUUUGGUUUGUAUCCUGACCAUUCACAAAGUGUCGUGCCACAGCACUUGCAUCAUUAGGGUUAUGGAUGAUCACAGUUCAUUUGCUUUGAAGAGACGUGUGUCUGCUCCUUCCUCCUCUUCUUGCCUUCAUGCUCAUGUUCUCUGGGGCAGCUGCUGAGGGUCUUUGAGGGCCACCAUGCUGUCUGGCUUCUUCCAAAAAUGUGUCCAAAUC
rnacentral:lncRNA from 1 species